rnacentral:rRNA from 1 species
UCACUGGUCGAGUCGGCCUGCGCGGAAGAUGUAACGGGGCUAAACUAUGCACCGAAGCUGCGGCAGCGACACUAUGUGUUGUUGGGUAGGGGAGCGUUCUGUAAGCCUGUGAAGGUGUGUCGUGAGGCAUGCUGGAGGUAUCAGAAGUGCGAAUGCUGACAUAAGUAACGAUAAAGCGGGUGAAAAGCCCGCUCGCCGGAAGACCAAGGGUUCCUGUCCAACGUUAAUCGGGGCAGGGUGAGUCGACCCCUAAGGCGAGGCCGAAAGGCGUAGUCGAUGGGAAACGGGUUAAUAUUCCCGUACUUGGUGUUACUGCGAAGGGGGGACGGAGAAGGCUAUGUUGGCCGGGCGACGGUUGUCCCGGUUUAAGCGUGUAGGUGUGUGUUCCAGGUAAAUCCGGUUCACUUUAACACUGAGGCGUGACGACGAGGCACUACGGUGCUGAAGCAACAAAUGCCCUGCUUCCAGGAAAAGCCUCUAAGCAUCAGGUAACAUCAAAUCGUACCCCAAACCGACACAGGUGGUCAGGUAGAGAAUACCAAGGCGCUUGAGAGAACUCGGGUGAAGGAACUAGGCAAAAUGGUGCCGUAACUUCGGGAGAAGGCACGCUGACACGUAGGUGAAGUGAUUUACUCAUGGAGCUGAAGUCAGUCGAAGAUACCAGCUGGCUGCAACUGUUUAUUAAAAACACAGCACUGUGCAAACACGAAAGUGGACGUAUACGGUGUGACGCCUGCCCGGUGCCGGAAGGUUAAUUGAUGGGGUCAGCGCAAGCGAAGCUCCUGAUCGAAGCCCCGGUAAACGGCGGCCGUAACUAUAACGGUCCUAAGGUAGCGAAAUUCCUUGUCGGGUAAGUUCCGACCUGCACGAAUGGCGUAAUGAUGGCCAGGCUGUCUCCACCCGAGACUCAGUGAAAUUGAACUCGCUGUGAAGAUGCAGUGUACCCGCGGCAAGACGGAAAGACCCCGUGAACCUUUACUAUAGCUUGACACUGAACAUUGAGCCUUGAUGUGUAG